rnacentral:sRNA from 1 species
AUUCUGCCCAAGCGGGGAAGGAUGAGAAGCUUCGACUAAGGUUCGACUCGAGCGCCAGCGAGAGAGCGUUGCCGCAGGCAACGAUCCGAAGGGCGAAGCGCGCAGCGCUGAGUAAUCCUUCCCCCACCACCA